rnacentral:lncRNA from 1 species
UCCAGAUCCAAAGGUAAUUGAAGAAAGUGAAGCAAAGUUGGUGAAGGUGUUCAACAUUUAUGAAGAGAGGCUAUCAAAGAACAAGUAUUUGGCUGGUGAUUUUUUCAGCCUUGCUGAUAUAAGUCACCUUCCAUUUAUGGAUUACGUUGUUAACAAUAUGGGGAAAGAUUAUUUGAUAAAGGAUAAGAAGCAUGUUAGUGCUUGGUGGAAUGAUAUAAGUAGUAGACCAUCAUGGAACAAAGUUCUUGAGUUAUAUAAACCUCCAAUUUAAGUGUAUCUUUGGAUUGACAAUAAGAUUUGUUUUUAGGAAAAAUAAUAGUAAUAAAGAAUAAAUGUGGCUUUAGCUCAAGGGCAGUGAGGGAUUUUGGCCACUAUUUGUUACUUCUAUCCUUUUAGUUUUAGUUUAGUUGUGUUGAAUUUGAGUAUGCUUAUGUUUUUCGCUUGUACUUUGAAAUAACUUUUUAUGAGCAAUAUAAAUUAAUCACAAUAUUAGUCCACUCUUCUAGAUGCAAUCACGUAGUAGAGUUAGGAAAUUAUGGAAAAUGCUAUAAUGCACGAGAAAGUCUAUCGUCAAAUUUGCACGAAUUGAUAUAUCAUUGUAGUUUGGUAUUUUAUCUUAGUUUUAAUUUGAGUCAAAGUGGCCAAAUAUGUAUUUAAAUUCCAUAAACACGUUUCCAUGUUGUGUGUUUUCCAAAUCAUGCAUGUCUUAGUAUCACCUUAUAAUUGACAUGUGGAAAGGUGAUAUUCUUAGAUCCGGAUGAUAUCAUUUUAGUUACAUUGAUUUUUGUACUAUAUGUUAUAUAUAAGAAUACAAUAACACCAAUAAGCUAGCAAUAAGUCCAAUAGUAAAGUAAAUUGCCUGUAAUUUAACAAGUCGUGCGACAUCGUGCGCUUGAAACUCUCGUACCAUUUAGCAUCGCUCGGAAAUUAUUACCCGUAUAAAACAUUUCAUGGAAUAAAAUAACUUUUCAUUUCCCAUCUUUUUAUUUCUAAGGAAAUGGGUGGGAAUAAAAUAUUCUCAUGAAGGUGAAUAAAAAUGAUGUAACCACUUAGUAACUAACCAUAUAUUCAAUGUUUACAAAUAAUUUCAAGAAUAUGGUAAAUAUUAACCAAACACUCCCUCAACAAAAAAAUUAACGAAACACUUUUUUUUUUUAAAAUACCCGGGAUUAAGAUUCCAAUUAUUAAUUCCUAAACACUAUUAUUGGGCAAAAAGAGUUUUAUACUAGAUCAAUAGUGUUGUCUAGACAAAAAAAAAAAAAAAAAGCAGGGACAAAUUAAAUUGAAAAAAUGUCGUAUACAUAGAAACAGAUUAACUAAAAGAUGAAAAGAGGAACAUAAACAUGCGUAGUGACAAAAUGAUGACGGAGUGGACAUCUGAGAACAUAGUGACUCCGGCUGAAAUACGAACACAAAUAAAAUGAAGUGACGAAGUGAGGACCCGAAAGUGGCGGAGCGACGGAGUAGAAAACGAUACAAUUGGGAACGAUGUAAAAAUUGAUGGCAACUGACGAUGGUGCAGUGCCUAGCCAGCGAUGACGGUCUUGAAAAUUCAAUGGGGACAAUGGUGAAAAAGAAAACUGAACUGUCUCUUCAUUUUUUUAAUAUUUUUAAAAAUAUAAUAUAUGACAUCAUGGUCAAUGCUUAUCAUUCAUAUUAUCUUCAAAAUCGAUGUAGAAAUCAUUUGGUCAGUAAAAUUUCAUUUUAUUGAUUCAUUUAAUAAAUUAUGUAUGUGGUCUACAUAAUACACUCUACCACAUACAUCAUUAAUUGAAUAAACCUAAAAAGUAAAAUUUGCUUAUAUUUUGAAACGGAUGGAGUAGGUCGUUACCUAAAAUAUAGGUUUUUGUUAAAAAUAAUAAUCGAAAGAUGUGGUUUUUAGAUAGACGGUGUGAUGAUCAGCAGAGAUCUCCAUAUCAAUUAUAAUUUGAAUUAGGGUUUUAACAUAAUUCAUAUUAUAUAAUCUCAAAUCCGGCAAAAAAGAAAAAAAAUUGUUUGGAUUUUAUAAUCCGAACGAAAAUAUUUGAUAAUUUUGAAAGGCGAACGAGAAACCAAAAGAUGAGAGAAUAACAAGGAAAGCAAAGAUCCUAAUAAUGACCCGAUCCUAUUCUAAUUUUUUUUAAAGAGAGAAAUUAUAUGUUCUCUCUAACUCUCUUUCUCCUUUAUCCACAUGAUAAUAACCAAAAUAACGAUUUUUGUAUGACUUGCUCUUUAAUCUUCUUUAAAAACCAAAAUAUGAAUAAUAUAUUAAAUUUAUUCAACCCACAAAAUGCGCCAUGAUUACAAACACUAAUUAUCUCAAAGGAUAAUAUACCGAUUCAAAAAGUAAAAUCAGACAGGAUAAUAUGAUAGAUGAUACCCACCCUAUAAACAAACAGCACAAAAUACACGUGACCAAAAAAGAAGAACUUAUAAUGAAAAACGACAAAGUUACAAGAACAUCAACCUCUGAAGAAAUUGAAAGGUUGUAUCCAUUAAUGAUUGAAAUCAUAUUUGAAACUGCUGCCUUUAAAUUUGAACAACAACCACGAGAUAAUUUUAAUCUUCUCCAAAAUUUGAUGAGAGUCACACACUUGUUACGAAAAUAUAUAUAACACAAUUUCUCACUUUCUAAAUAAACCAUAGUCUUAUUUGAUCCAUUGAUCCCUCAAAUAAUUUCAAGUUUUCAUUUUGAUCCCACAAUUAAUAAAACGUACGUUUUGGUCCCUCAAAUUUUCCUCCGUUUGCCAAAUAAAUCAUGACUGUUAAGUUUAACCCCAAAUGAUGUCUAUGGUAGACCAACCUUAAAAGUGAUCCACCAUAGAUCCUAUUAAUUAUUUUAAUUUAAACUGUUUGAUUUUUUUUUAAAAAAAAGAUAAUCAUUAAUCAGCAAGUCUAUCUUAUCAUAUGAUGUACCACCAACACCUGAUUUUUUCUUUUCUUCAUCUUCUACAUUUUCAUCUUCUUCAUCUUCAUCAAUCAUAUUCAUAUCUUCAUAAAAAUAAAAUAAAAAAUUCAAACAACCCCAAAAAAAUUAAAUUAAAAACCAACAAAUUGUUUCUCCUACAAACAACAGUAGCAUAAACAAAACCCCUUUCCUUUUUUUUUUUCUCUCUCGGAUCCCAAUAGAAAAAGAAGAAAAAACGUAGAAGGGAACAAAAGAAGAAGAAACGCAUAAGGGAACAAAAGAAGAAGAAACACAGAAGAGAAAAGGGCAGGAGGAAGAGAGGGAAAACGGCGGUGGUGAUAUGAAGCUCUGGCGAGGUAACGAAGAGAAGGUUCGACAUCGACGUUGUCGUCGCCGUCGUCUCUCUUCCGUUUCUUGAUUGUUGCGACGCCGUUGAUUUGGGGGGGGGGGGGGGGGGGGGGGGGUUGGAGGCGUUGGAUGUGAUUCUGAUGUGGAAUAGUGAACGUUGAUUGUUAGAGGGAGAUAGUUCAGAAGUGGCCGCCAUUGAUCUUUACUGUGAUUUAUUUCGGUUUUGCUGAGUCACUUAAGUCUGUGUUGUUUUUGCUUUCUUCGUUUUAUGCUGCUGUCUGUAAGGUUCCUUUGUGUUACUUGUUUUUCUUUGUUGGUUCUUGUUUGUAUAUAAGUGGCGGAUUGCCUAUUUGUAGGUUUGGUUUUGGGUUUUUGGAGACCUGUUUUGCUGCCGGAGGCGCUCCCUUUUGUUUAGUGUGAUAAUAAAUUUUUGCUGUCAUAGAAAAAAGUGCCGCCAUUGUUAACCUCACUGUGUGUUUGCUUUGAUUAUUGAUUGUUCUUGUUUCAACUAGUAAGUUCCUAAGAACAUUUUUUUGGUAUCCGAUUUGAUUUUUUUAUAGAAGAGAUGAAUGAAGAAUGAGUUAUGAUUCUACUGGUGUUAGAUUACACAAUGGUGGUGGUGGAUUUGAUGGUGUUGGUGGUCUGGAAUUUGAUGGUGUUAGAAUUAAUGUUUUGUGUUAUUGAUAGUUGUUGUUGUUGUUUUUGGAUUUUUUAUGUUUUUUUUUUUAUGAAUGUUGUAGAAGAUGAUGAGGAUCAUGAACAUUGCAAAGAUGCUCGCUAGAGAAGAAGAGAAAUGAAAUUGAGAAUUUUAAUUUGGCAUUAGGGGUAUUUUUUGUAUUUCACAUCGUUAGCAUUAUUUUAUGAAGAUCAUGAUCAAGAAGGUGAAGAUCUAACGGUCCCUUUUAUGAUAAAUAGAUCGAACGGAUAAAAUUAAGAAAAUUAAUAAGGUCUACCAUAGACCACUUUUUAAGAUUGGUCCACCAUAUACAUUUAAAGUUGAAGUUAACCGUCAGGAUUUAUUUGGCAAACGGAGGAAAAUCUGAGGGACCAAAACGUAUGUUUUAUUAAUUGUGGGACCAAAAUGAAAACUUGAAAUUAAUUAGAGGACCAUUGAAUCAAAUAAACCUAAACCAUAAGCACAAAUACCAAAUAACAUGAUGUUUCUCCCUAUCGUUCAUUCCUUGCAAACUCAAAGCACAACAUUAGUGAGUAUACUCUAAAGCGAUAUUAGACAAAGGAGCAGUGGCGGAGCCAGAAAUUUUAUAAAGCUAGGCAAAAAUUGCAUAUUUUCUACAAAUAAUUUUAUAGACUUCCCAUAUAAUGUUACUUCAUUCAUGCGGAUAAUUGCACAUUUCCUGCGGAUAUAUCUUUCCUGCGGAUCCUAAAAUCCUAAGGACCCACGAAGGUAUUGCAUUUAUCGAAAAACCUAAAUCCUUGGCAAAAUCUGCAGAAAAAGCAAGAGGUUCUAAUAAUGGAUGGACUUGUUACAAAGAAAGUAGAAGCUGAGUCUGGGCUAGUGCUCAGGCUAGCUGGGGGUGGCUCCGCCCCUGCAAAGGAGUAAUAUUUGAUUCCCUCAACAAAACAAAAAAAAAAAAAAUUGAUUAUAGCUCCUCUUAUAUGAUGGAGAUAAAUGACUAAAACGAAUGUAACAUUUAUCAAUUCUUAUAUGAACAAGUUUCUUAGCAACUAAAACAAAAUACGAAGGAAAAAAAAAAAAUUAGAUAUUUUUUAAGGAAAAACUAGAUAUAUUUAAAGACUAAAAAUAAAUUACGAGCACUAAAACAAAAAAUGCAAUAUUUGGAAUUUCCGUUUAAAAUUAUAGAUAAAACAGGUCGAAAAUGACUGAAAAAUAUAAUGCAGAUUGCACUGUCUGCAUUUACUGGCGUGAGUGGUAGUUAACUACCGCUGGGAUAAAACAACCAUUUCCGUGUGUGUUUAGGAAAUAAGUUUGUGAGAAAAGCAAUCUUCAAAACAAAAACCUUUUUUUUUUUUUAACAACAAAUAUUAUUUAAAAAUUAUAUCCCUGCACAAGACGAACAUAUAGUAGUAAUUUAGAGAAUACAAACUAAAGGCACCGUAUAUAGGCGGAUAAAUUACGCUAAUGAUACGAUCAUAUCAAGAAUCUAGAUGUUACUUCUUCAAUAAAUCACCAAGCAUGCAUGAACAAUUUCUCAAAACAUCGCAGCGGAAUAAAACAUCAUUACAUCGACACCUAAAUAAAAUAUUUCAACAGUCAUCCAAAUAUAAUAAGUCACCAAGUUGCCAUGUCAUCACAAUACACAUAACAUCAUUGAUACAUCGUCUCAAAAUCUCCAACAGACAUAAAUAAAGACAAACAUCAAAGACCGACUCGUAAUCAGAGCCCUAAAAACCAAGGCACCAAAAGCAGUAGACGAGGUAGCUCCAAGCUAUCCUCAAGCGACUCCCAAAGCAAACAAACUACUCUUGCACACUGUCUAUCCAUCCAUAUGGAUAAGGAUGACGAUCAACCAAACGACCACUGGGGGUUAGUUCAGUUUUCACAAUUAAACAUAAUCUAACAUAAGUAUUGAAGGAUUCAUACAUAUCAAAUAUACAUACUCAACAUUCCUAGAAUGCUAACUCUACAUGAAUAUUAUCCCUCAUUCCAUACACAUCAUGUUAUCACACUUCUAUACGAGCAUAGCAAGCAUAUUCAAUCUCUAAUCAAAUCAUCAACAUAAGCUCAUCACUUAAUAACAUCAAUCAAUAUAAGAAUUUUCAAAGAUCGUAUCGUUUUGCCGUUUUUCAAAGAAUCUAAGUUUUCAAAGCAAACUCAAGUUAAAGUUCAUGAUUCCCAUCCAAAACAUUUUUAUAAAUCAUAACAAGAGUAAACAACCCUAACCCUACCCUUUUACACUUAUGAGUUGUGUGUUCAUUAUUUUCUAAAGAAUGUCUGUCAUUUACAUAUUGGCCCUUUAGCUCAUGAACCACUUCAUAUGAGAACAUAAUAAUUAUUCCAAGGGUUAAUAAUAUAUUUUAUCAUCUCUAACAGUAAGACAUUACUCUAACUUGAUUCAAAAGCUUAUCAUGAAGAGCUUAUCGAAAUAAGCUGAAAACAACUUAUACAAGCAUCAAAUAAAGCUUUAUCCAAACAGGCCCCUAGGUUAACAGUAAAUUUCCCCAAAAUAACACCCCCUAGCUUCAUCCAAACAGUCACUCUCCCAAAAUCAUUCAUUAUACAACAAAAUCAUCAACAACAACAACAACAGUAACGCUCUAGUCGUUGUUUUAUUUAUUAAAAUUUAUUUGGAGUAUAUUAUAUGAUUUUAAUUAAUAAUUGGUGAUUUAUGUGGUGUGGUAUAUUUUAUUAUAUAGUUUAUUUUAUAAUAAUUGGAUUAAGUGAGAAAUUAUUAUUAUUUUGAAGUUUGGGGAAUUAAUAGAAUUUAAUAGAAUUAGGAGGGAGUAAAGUGAAAUAAAGGAAAGUUGAGAAGGAAGUUAAGAAAGAAAGAAAAGAGUCAAAAACAUUCUUACGUGAAACUGUCAGUUUUGGGAGAAAGGGAGAGAAGAGCAAGUAGAGCCAAGAACCAUUGUUUGUUGUGCAUUUCUUCUGCAAUUUUAAGGUAAGGGUGAGGUUUGCUUCAGUAUUAUAGACAUUAAUUUCUGAUUUUAAGUUUAACAGAGUUUUUGGUGAGAAUUAGGGAUUAUGGGUUUUGUGAUGAAAUGAUGAUUUUGGGGGUAGAGAUUGUUGUUAUGAUGUUAGAAAUAGGUUCUAAGUGUAUACAGCAAGUUAAUUCUUAUCUGUAAACUGAUUUGGGGAGUGAAUUGAAGAAAAAUGGGAUUUUGGGGAAAAACCUGUUUUCUGUCUGUACAGAAGUUCAUCGCUCGCCUCGCGAGUAGCUUGUGCUCGCCAAGGCGAGUGAGCAACUUCAUAGCUCGCCUCGCGAGCAGACCAACUCGCCGUGGCGAGUAACCCAGUAUAAAACUUGAUUUUUAAAUUGUUGUUAUAAGAUGUUUUUGGGAUAGUUUAAUGUACCUAAAUGAUUUUAGAGAGGACUAGAGCAAGUUUUAGAUUAAAAAGAUGAAUAGGGAGCUUAGAAUUGAAGUUUGAGUGAGAAAAAUGUCAAAACUCCCGAGAGCACCAUAUUUUCACUCGCCUCGAGUUCGCCUUGAACUCGCCAUGGCGAGCAACCCGUUUUGUGAGUUCGCCAUAGCGAGCAGAUGUGCUCGCGAGGCGAGUUGCCCAGUUUUUGUAUGCUGAUUGUACUUAUAUGAAUGGUGAUGAUUGAUGUUGUUGUUGAGCGUAAUUGUGAUUAAUUGUGCAUCUUUCUGGAUUGCUGGAUUACUAGUUGUUGAUGUUGUUGAUGGCUGUAAUGUAUGUUAUAUUUAUUAAAUCAUACAUGUUGAAUAAAUUCGGAGUCAUAUGAGAAUGUAUGCAUGGUCAAGUUGUAUGUAGAUAUACACAAGUGAGUCCAUAACAUAUGCAUAAACAGCGGGAGGACUCAUGUCCUGGAGCACUAGUUGUUCACAGCGGUGAGGACUUCGAUCAUGAUGAAUGCUUUAACCAUUCAAAAGCGGUGAGAGCUUCGGUCCUGUUUGGUACCACAUGCAUAAUUGCAUUUAUUAAGGGGUCUUAGUGGUGUCGUCAUGUCAUGCAUGAGUCUUUGUUGUUGGUUGUAAUUGUUAUAAUGAUGAUGAUGAUGUUGUUGUUGAUGUAUGUAUAUUUAUACACCUAUUAUGAUGAAUUGAUUUGAAGAUAAGUUGUUGCUUUGUGAAAUAUAUAUUUAUAUUUACAAGAUGAUGUAUUGAUGUUUAAUAGGGUGUUAGAUUCAAUUGAUGAUUUUAAUAUCUAUAUUUUAUUGUUGUGAAUCUCACCCCUUCUGCUUGAAAAUGUUGCCCUUCCUAUGGGUAACUUGCAGGUGAUCCUGAGUAGUCGGUGGUGGCUCAAGUGUCGUGUCUAGGGCUCUGAUACGUGGGAUGAGAUUUCUUAUUGUUUUCUUUCCUAUGUAUCAAUUUUUGGAACAUGAUGAUGUGGCCCUAUGAUUGUUUAGAUUUCUUUGAUGAGGCUUUUAUGCCAGGAUAAUUUGAUGGAGAAUUUAACCGUUGUCAUUGUUGUUUAAAUGCAAAUAUUCCGCUGCAAGAUUAAUGAUGUUUUGAAAGUUGUUUAAUUAAAUAGUUUCAUAUGCUAUAUAAGAAAUUUUGAAAAUGUAGUGUAGCAUGCCCGUUUGGUGCUUAACACUGAUGAUUUUAUUUAUACUUUGAUAUAUUUGGGAUAUCGGGGUGUUACAAAAAACAUGCAACAAAGCAUAAAAAACUGAGAUAAAAACAAAAACGAAAUUAAGAGAGAAUUGAACUAUAAAAGAAGAGAAGAAAGAGAGAAAGCAUUUUUACAAAAGGAAUGAGAGAGAGAGUUUUCACGACCGCGGAAUGACUUCGAUUCCAACUUAGAGAGAGAGAGAGAGAGAGAGGCUUCUGACUUCGAUUUUGACCGAAGCAAGAAGCUGGUUUUGGGUUUGGAUUUAUGACUUCGAUUUUCAUUGAUGCAAGGAAGGUGGUUUGGAUUUCAGUUUUGGGAGAAGGACGAUGGUUUAGUUUUCAGUUUUCUGACCAAAGGAAUGGACGGUGGUAUUGGUUCUGACUUUGAAUCCCAUUAGAUUGAUAGGGUUGAUACACAGUGAGCUAUCACGAUUUUAGUAAGUGUUACACAUUUAGUAAAAUCGUGGUGUCAUUAUGAUUUUGCCCAACUUAUCAACCAUCCAAACAUUCAAUCAGUUGCUGAAAGAAUUUUACUAUCUUAUGAGACGUAUCCGUGGUGUACAUUGACAUGUAUGAAGUGGUUGACUACGACAUAUAUUUUGAAAGUUUGCAAGGAAAAAGUAAGACCAUGAAAAGCAAAAAUUCAAUUUUUUUUAUAGUGAUCGAGGUUUGAACUCCAAACAUUGCAUAUAUUAUGCAUUGUCCAUAUCAACUGAGCUAAGCUCACGAGAACAAAAAUUCAAUCCUUUAAAAUUAUUGUUAUAAUAUAUGAAUUAAAUUAUACAUAGAUACAGAUGGAUGAGAGAAAGCUGUUAAAUGCGUGAAAGGGUUCGUAUUCUUUUUUAGUAAGAGUUACUUUUUUUUUCUUGUUCUUAGCUAAUUUUUGUUUUUUUAUUCGGAAGGUUGGAAAUAUGUAAAAUAAAAUUAAUAAUGAAUUUAAUUAAAGUAAUAAAUCAAAAAAUAAUAAUUAAAUUAUAAAUUAAAUACAUCAGUUAUUCAAUAAACUUAAAAAUUAAAUAUAAAAUCCUUAUAUCAAUGAUGACAACAAAAUGUGAACUCGUUUUAGGUGGCGGCCAACUCCAUUAAUUAUAUUACUCUCACCAACUAGCAAGUUAAAUUGAUACUUUAUAGGGAAAGUAACAUGGGCUUACAGCCAGGAUCAGGAGGACUACCCUUCAACCUCAGUUUUGUUUGUUUGUGUUGGCUAUAUAUAUUUUCAGAUGAAGAGUAGAGACUCUAUAAGAAUGAAGUGAACUACCCACCCAAGAGUGUUAACAAUCCCCCUUCUAUCUUAUUGAAGCAUUUAUUUUUUCAAAAGAAACCAAAACAUGGUAGUGAAGGUUUAUGGUCCCCAUUGUGCCUCAGCCAAACGUGUGUUGGUUUGUCUUGUUGAGAAGGAAAUAGAAUUUGAGGUUGUCCCUAUUAAUGUCUUGAAGGGUGAACACAAGGAUCCUGAGUACCUCAAAUUACAGGUUCAUGUUUGUUAACUAGGAAUUAAAGUUUAUUUAUUUGAAUCUUCAUUUUCUAACACUCAUGUACUUUGUUCAUAAUCUGCAGCCAUUUGGAAAUGUUCCUGUUAUUAAAGAUGGAGACUAUACCCUUUAUGGUUAAACAUCUUGACCCCAUGUCAUGCUUUUCUAGUUCUUGUUUUUACACCUUUUGUUCCUUACCUUAAAAUUCAUGUUUGGUAUAUUGUAGAUUUGUUAAAAUAACUUGAUCCACCAUUUUACAAAAUUAACAUGGUUCACCAGGAUUCUUGGAAUCAAUCGUAAUAUCAAACAUAUGCUAAAUUAGUUUAAUUUUAGAGUAAAGAUACAAGUUUGACAUCAAAUUUAAUCUAUAAAAAUAAAAACAACUUUUAAUUUCUAAAAUAUAUAAACCGUAAUGACUUAGAUCCCUUACCGGACAAAAUUGGAGAUAGAUCAAUGUUCACAUAGGAACUAAAUUGUUUUCAACUUAUUUUUUGGAAAGAUUAAAGUUUACUUUUAUUCUUCUUAUAGAAUAAAUUUUGAGUACUACAUAAUUUUUUCAAGGAUCACAAUGGUUCCUCACCCUUAGUUUUAAUACAACAAGAAUACAUAAACAUUUAAUAUACAUUAUGAGCUAAUCAUAAAUCAUUAUUGCAUGCCUACUGAAUCUUAUACUAUUACCUUGCUGAUUUUUAUGUUUUCAUCUAUUUGUGCAGAAUCUAGGGCAAUAAUGAGAUAUUAUGCAGAAAAAUAUAGAUCUCAAGGGGUUGAGUUGCUAGGAAAGACAAUAGAAGAAAAGGGUCUUGUGGAACAAUGGUUAGAAGUUGAAGCACACAACUUUAACCCACCAGCUUACAACUUGGUCAUUCAUGUUUUGUUUCCUUCACUACUGGUUGACGGCACUCCAGAUCCAAAGGUAAUUGAAGAGAGUGAAGCAAAGUUGGUGAAGGUGUUGAACAUUUAUGAAGAGAGACUAUCAAAGAACAAGUAUUUGGCUGGUGAUUUUUUCAGCCUUGCUGAUAUAAGUCACCUUCCAUUUACUGAUUAUAUUGUUAACAAUAUGGGGAAAGAUUAUUUGAUUAAGGAGAGGAAAAAUGUUAGUGCUUGGUGGGAUGAUAUAAGUAGUAGACCAUCAUGGAACAAAAUUCUUGAGUCAUAUAGACCUCCGGUUUAAGUCU